GUGCGCCGAUGAUAAUUGGGGGGCGACCCCCUGUGAAAGUAGGACGUUGCCGGGC
rnacentral:rRNA from 1 species